rnacentral:rRNA from 1 species
GACGAACGCUGGCGGCGUGCUUAACACAUGCAAGUCGAACGAUGAAGAAAAGAAUCGAAGCUUCGGCAGAAAUUCAUUUCGGAUUAGUGGCAGACGGGUGAGUAACGCGUGAGCAACCUACCUCUUACAAAGGGAUAGCCUCGGGAAACCGGGAUUAAUACCAUAUAACAUUUUGACGAAGCAUUUCGAUGCAAUCAAAGCUACGGCGGUAAGAGAUGGGCUCGCGUCCCAUUAACCGGAUGGUGAGGUAACGGCUCACCAUAGUGACGAUGGGUAACCGGCCUGAGAGGGUGAACGGUCACACUGGAACUGAGACACGGUCCAGACUCCUACGGGAGGCAGCAGUGGGGAAUAUUGCACAAUGGAGGGAACUCUGAUGCAGCGACGCCGCGUGAGUGAUGAAGGAAUUCGUUUCGUAAAACUCUGUUCUAUGGGAAGAAAAGGACUGUACCAUAGGAGAAAGCUCCGGCUAAAUACGUG